ACGAUGUUGACUUCCGCUCCUCUGUGCUCAUGUUGUAACUAGAGGGACCUGUAGUCAACACGAGA
rnacentral:pre_miRNA from 1 species